rnacentral:rRNA from 1 species
GAAAGCUGGCGUCUUCGGCGUCCGCAUUGUAAUCUCAAGAAGUGUUUUCCGCUUCGGACCAUGCCUAAGUCCCUUGGAAAAGGGCAUCAUAGAGGGUGAUAAUCCCGUACAUGGCAUGGAGCGCCCGAGGCUUUGUGAUACGCUUUCUAAGAGUCGAGUUGUUUGGGAAUGCAGCUCAAAAUGGGUGGUAAAUGCCAUCUAAGGCUAAAUAUUGGGGAGAGACCGAUAGCGAACAAGUACAGUGAUGGAAAGAUGAAAAGAACUUUGAAAAGAGAGUUAAACAGUACGUGAAAUUGCCAAAAGGGAAGGGUAGGAGGUCAGAGAUGCGUCUUGGGAUUCAGCCUUGCUUUUGCUUGGUGUUUUUCCCAAGUUGCAGGCCAACGUCGGUUUUGGGCACUGGAGAAGGGUGGAAGGAACGUGGCACCUCUCGGGGUGUGUUAUAGCCUUCUACUGGAUACAGCGACCGAGACCGAGGACAGCAGCGUACUCGCAAGAGCGGGCCUUCGGGCACCUUUACGCUUAGGGCGUUGGCAUAAUGGCCCUCUACCACCCGUCUUGAAAC